rnacentral:tRNA from 1 species
GCGCUCGUAGCUCAGUUGGAUAGAGCGUUAGUUUCCUAAACUAAAGGUCACAGGUUCGAAUCCUGUCGGGCGUA